CUUGUGUUUAUUUGUUUCCCUUUAUUCCAUCAAGCCAAGGAUGUUCUCUACAUCAGGGGUCUCCAGCCCCCGGGCUAUGGACCGGUACCAGCCUGUGGCCUAUUAGAAACCAGGCUACACAACAGGAGGACAUAACAAGAAGUCAGCAGUCUGCAAACCAGGAAAGAACCUGCACCAGAGCCCAACAAUGAUGGCGCCCUGCUUUUGGACUUCCAGGCUCCAGAACUAACCUACGUGAGUUUUAUCUAUCCCAUUGAAGUGUGGAGCCCAAGGAAGACAUUCAUUCAGUGAUGUUCUGACUAAUGCUGACUCAUCUGGAAGGUGAGUGUCCUGCUCCUACUUAUGUUUCCUAG